rnacentral:rRNA from 1 species
UGGGGAAUCUUGCGCAAUGGACGAAAGUCUGACGCAGCGAUGCCGCGUGCGGGAUGAAGGCCCUCGGGUUGUAAACCGCUUUCAGCAGGGACGAAAUUGACGGUACCUGCAGAAGAAGCCCCGGCCAACUACGUGCCAGCAGCCGCGGUAAUACGUAGGGGGCGAGCGUUGUCCGGAUUUAUUGGGCGUAAAGAGCUCGUAGGCGGUUCGAUAAGUCGGAUGUGAAAUCUCCACGCUCAACGUGGAGGGGCCAUUCGAUACUGUCGUGACUCGAGUCCGGUAGGGGAGUGUGGAAUUCCCGGUGUAGCGGUGAAAUGCGCAGAGAUCGGGAGGAACACCCGUAGCGAAGGCGGCACUCUGGGCCGGUACUGACGCUGAGGAGCGAAAGCGUGGGGAGCAA